rnacentral:snoRNA from 1 species
CCCACCCUCCUGAUGAAAACAAUUACGGAUUCAAGAGUUUCGACUCGUACGUCCGAGAGCGCAAAACCCAUGUGGAUUCCUCCGUUGCCUUCCUUCUGACCUAUUCC